GAAAUAUUUUACAUUUGUGGGUUUGGAAAGGAUUGUUGGAUGCUGCCGUGGUGUUCUCACAUCACAGUAUAGCGUUCUUGAUAAGGUAAAGCGGCAUCCAAGUGCGUUGCUUUGCUUCCAAAGGAUCAUGGAAGCAAAUGGAGUUUAUAAUUAUCAUAAUUAAUUAAAUUACGCAAAAUGUUUUGAAAAUCAUUCAAACCAAAAAGACCAUAGAUAAAUUGUUCUUAUCUCGCUCAUACACGAAUCAGACGUCCUCUUCAGUCUUCAUCUUCUCGUCUCUCUUUUCUGAGCUCAUUCGUCCUCUCUGCGACUGUGCCUCCCAGGGCUUGUCGUGCGGCUCUGUCGACCUCACCUUCCCGGAAUCCCUGAUCUCAAAGGCUCACCGCUUGCCUCUCAUCACAUCUCUCUCUGCGACUCUGCCCGCCGUGCUUCAUUUGGGAUUUUGGUCCAUUGUGAAGAAUUUGAAAUGGCAAAUUAGCUGAAUUGCAAAAGUCCGGUUUGCAGCUGAGGGUACAAAACUAGCAGGCCAAAAAGCCACCAAGGCCUCCACUUCCAGCGCCAGUUGGUUUUCGUGAUGAUGAUGAUGAUAUCAUGAUAAUGUUGAAAGGAGAGGAGGUUUCACGGCAGGCUACCAAGAACCUGCCUCUCAAGGAUAUGUUUUUCUUCCAUCAACAAAUUACUUUGUACUUCUUUUCCUACGUUGUGUUUUUCACUUUUUUAUUCUUUUUCCUUUUUUGGUUUUAAGAUUGAGGAGCAGCAUAAGAAAGCA
rnacentral:misc_RNA from 1 species